rnacentral:rRNA from 1 species
CUAUCACUCCUACGGGAGGCAGCAGUGGGGAAUAUUGCACAAUGGGGGAAACCCUGAUGCAGCCAUGCCGCGUGUGUGAAGAAGGCCUUCGGGUUGUUAAAGCACUUUCAGUAGGGAGGAAGGUAGUGUAGUUAACACCUGCAUUAUUUGACGUUACCUACAGAAGAAGCACCGGCUAACUCCGUGCCAGCAGCCGCGGUAAUACGGAGGGUGCGAGCGUUAAUCGGAAUUACUGGGCGUAAAGCGCAUGCAGGCGGCCUGUUAAGUCAGAUGUGAAAGCCCGGGGCUUAACCUCGGAAUUGCAUUUGAAACUGGCAGGCUAGAGUCUUGUAGAGGGGGUAGAAUUUCAGGUGUAGCGGUGAAAUGCGUAGAGAUCUGAAGGAAUACCAGUGGCGAAGGCGGCCCCCUGGACAAAGACUGACGCUCAGAUGCGAAAGCGUGGGGAGCAAACAGGAUUAGAUACCCUGGUAG